rnacentral:tRNA from 1 species
GGGCUGGUAGAUCAGCUGGAAGAUCGCCGCCUUCGCAAGGCGAAGGCCACGGGUUCAAAUCCCGUCCAGUCCA